UCUACUGCGUGCGCGUCUAUGCUUCUGCGCGUAGCCGCCGUGAAAAACGUUCGAUGAAAUGAAAUCGUCGAAUGGUUUAUUGUGAGUUGGUUUACGCCUUUAAAAGUACGAUGAGUAGCAAAGAAGAAUUUUACGGAAAUUAUCCGAAUAUUAGCAGUAAUGAAUUGCCUUGGUUAAUUGGCUGUCCGCAUGAGGAAAAGAUGGCGGACAUCCAGAACUAUUUUUUGCGGGGCUUAUACAAAUAUGUGAAGAUACAAGAAAUCACUCAAUGGAGAAGAAAUUGCCAGCCAGUAUGUGUGUAUAGGGUGGUUUACAAAAUCAAGGAUAGGACUCCCGAUUUAAGUGGAGAGGAAAUCUUCAUUCCAUUUCCAGAUAAUGACGAAGAGUUAAAAAAAAUGUUUCGUCAUAUUACUGAAAUGAUUUUUGGAAUGCGUGUGGUCGAAAAAAAUAUUAGUGUUGAUAGAGUCUUCGCAUCAAUAAGCUAUGCCCCGGCUUCUUGUGCAUGCGAUGUGCAGGAUUUUGAGAUGGCUGCAGAGGAGCCUCGUAUGCAGCCCUCAAUUACAGAGGUAUCGAAUUCUUUAUGGAAGAUAAAGUUAUAAUUUUGUCAAUUUCAUAAACAAUAAAGUAAAAGUAUUAUAUAUUAA